CAGGGCUUGACAUGCACUGGAAUGUCGGAGAAAUUCGGCAGCCCUUCGGGGCCAGUGCACAGGUGGUGCAUGGCUGUCGUCAGCUCGUGUCGUGAGAUGUUGGGUUAAGUCCCGCAACGAGCGCAACCCUUGUCCCAUGUUGCCAGCGUGAAAGACGGGGACUCAUGGGAGACUGCCGGUGACAAAUCGGAGGAAGGUGGGGAUGAUGUCAAGUCAUCAUGCCCCUUAUGUCCUGGGCUACACACGUGCUACAUUGGCCGGUACAAAGGGCUGCAAACCCGCGAGGGUGAGCGAAUCCCAUAAAGCCGGUCCCGGUUCGGAUUGAAGGCUGAAACUCGCCUUCAUGAAGGCGGAGUUGCUAGUAACCGUGGGUCAGUACACCACGGUGAAUACGUUCCC
rnacentral:rRNA from 1 species